rnacentral:rRNA from 1 species
UACGGAGGGUGCGAGCGUUAAUCGGAAUUACUGGGCGUAAAGGGUGCGUAGGUGGUUAAUUAAGUUAUGUGAGAAAGACCAGGGCUUAACCUUGGGGUGACAUGUGAUACUGGUUAACUAGAGUAUGGGAGAGGGUAGUGGAAUUUCCGGUGUAGCGGUGAAAUGCGUAGAGAUCGGAAGGAACACCGGUGGCGAAGGCGGCUACCUGGCCUGAUACUGACACUGAGGCACGAAAGCAUGGGGAGCAAACAGG